rnacentral:lncRNA from 1 species
CAUGCCAUCCCACAUGGCUCUGGGACAGGUUCUGUGAAAAUCCCAGCCCUCAGAACUGUUGCCUCGGUGGUCCCCAGCCGAUUCUCCAGGCUUGGCUUGAGGAGUCUCAGUGAACAUUUGACUUCUGCUGUCCAGAAUCAGAGAAUGACCAGAAUCAAGGUUUUCUCUUUGACCUUUAUACCUUGAUUGUUUCUCUCUUUGUGCUUAUGAGCCAAGCAGGUGAAUCAUCCCCCUAACUUACUCUCAGUGAUUUUGUUUUUGUCUUGACAGAGUCUGUGUAACAUUUUAAAUGGUAUUGCUUCCAAAGCAGUAAUUCUUGGCAUUUUUUAAAAAAUACAAUGGCAAAACAUUUUAAAUUAUUUCAAAAUAAAAGUUUAAAAUGACAGUGAAUUUUUUCCCCUUAGAUUUGUGUAUAUAGUCAGAUGUAUGAGCAGUUUCUCUGAAAGAACAGUUUGUCAUUUACAUUCUUAACAAGUCUGUGAGGCAGUGAUUGAUUAGGAGGGUUUUCAUUUAGAUUCUGAAAAAGAAGUCAUGUGAGAAAAGCCUUUCCUGUGGGGGUGAAGGAAGAUGAGCAGGAUCGGGAGGGUGGUGACAAAGGCUGCCAGGAAGAGGAGGAAGAGGGAGGUCAGAACGACCUGAACCAGCUCUGGGAAGUGCUGGCCGCUAUCAGGGAAUAAGAGAGAUAAGGGAAACCCUUGGCCAGGGCUGUGGGUUUCUUUUAUGAACUUGGACUUUCUAAUUAAUUUAUAAAUGCUUUUAAAAGUGUUCUGACAGACCUAACCCAGGCGUCUGGUGGAGAACAGGCACCACGUAUGUACAGUGUUCGUGGACUUUGUAAAAGCUUCCACUUUACUCAUUAGUGGCACAGACAGAUCAUUAAGAGUGCAACAUUCUGGCUUUCACCCACAGAGUCUAUGCAAAAAACCACCUGAUAAACAGAAGAAGGAAAUGGCCAAAAGAAGGCUUUCCCUGAAGCCAAAAUACAGAAAUUAGAAGAUGGAAAUGCCAGAACGCCUUUGAUCAAGAACAGAGUCACUCAGCAUGAAUUAAUAGAAGUGUUUGAGGAUACUUUUCAAAUCAGACUGGUGAGCAAGGAUGGGAUGAGUGAAAGGUAUGUUUUGUACCUUGUACUGAAAAUAUAUGUCUACUGGAUUCUAAUGUAACAGAAUUUCAUUAUAUUCUCCCAAAUCACUCAUACCUGAUUUUAGAGAAGAGUAGUCAUCCAGCCUUUCUACCGGCAGACAUAAAAAGCAUCAUAAAUGGAUAGCCAAAGGCUUCUAGAAAAUUGUAGUAGUGUCACAGACAAAUGAAGACUUACUCUAUCAAGUAUAAGAUUGAAGACUGGAAGAAUCUAGUUACAGGUUUUUGUUUUGUUUAAUUUAUUUUUAUUGAAGUAUAGUCAAUUUACAGUGUGUC